rnacentral:rRNA from 1 species
GAUGAACGCUGGCGGCGUGCCUAAUACAUGCCAGUCGAGCGAACGGACGAGAAGCUUGCUUCUCUGAUGUUAGCGGCGGACGGGUGAGUAACACGUGGAUAACCUACCUAUAAGACUGGGAUAACUUCGGGAAACCGGAGCUAAUACCGGAUAAUAUUUUGAACCGCAUGGUUCAAAAGUGAAAGACGGUCCUGCUGUCACUUAUAGAUGGAUCCGCGCUGCAUUAGCUAGUUGGUAAGGUAACGGCUUACCAAGGCAACGAUGCAUAGCCGACCUGAGAGGGUGAUCGGCCACACUGGAACCGAGACACGGUCCAGACUCCUACGGGAGGCAGCAGUAGGGAAUCUUCCGCAAUGGGCGAAAGCCUGACGGAGCAACGCCGCGUGAGUGAUGAAGGUCUUCGGAUCGUAAAACUCUGUUAUUAGGGAAGAACAUAUGUGUAAGUAACUGUGCACAUCUUGACGGUACCUAAUCAGAAAGCCACGGCUAACUACGUG